rnacentral:rRNA from 1 species
GACGAACGCUGGCGGCGUGCUUAACACAUGCAAGUCGAACGGAAAGGCCCUGCUUUUGUGGGGUGCUCGAGUGGCGAACGGGUGAGUAACACGUGAGUAACCUGCCCUUGACUUUGGGAUAACUUCAGGAAACUGGGGCUAAUACCGGAUAGGAGCUCCUGCUGCAUGGUGGGGGUUGGAAAGUUUCGGCGGUUGGGGAUGGACUCGCGGCUUAUCAGCUUGUUGGUGGGGUAGUGGCUUACCAAGGCUUUGACGGGUAGCCGGCCUGAGGGGGUGACCGGCCACAUUGGGACUGAGAUACGGCCCAGACUCCUACGGGAGGCAGCAGUGGGGAAUAUUGCACAAUGGGCGGAAGCCUGAUGCAACAACGCCGCGUGCGGGAUGACGGCCUUCGGGUUGUAAACCGCUUUCGCCUGUGACGAAGCGUGAGUGACGGUAAUGGGUAAAGAAGCACCGGCUAACUACGUGCCAGCAGCCGCGGUGAUACGUAGGGUGCGAGCGUUGUCCAGAUUUAUUGGGCGUAAAGGGCUCGUAGGUGGUUGAUCGCGUCGGAAGUGUAAUCUUGGGGCUUAACCCUGAGCGUGCUUUCGAUACGGGUUGACUUGAGGAAGGUAGGGGAGAAUGGAAUUCCUGGUGGAGCGGUGGAAUGCGCAGAUAUCAGGAGGAACACCAGUGGCGAAGGCGGUUCUCUGGGCCUUCCCUGACGCUGAGGAGCGAAAGCGUGGGGAGCGAACAGGCUUAGAUACCCUGGUAGUCCACGCUGUAAACGGUGGGUACUAGGUGUGGGGUCCAUUCCACGGGUUCCGUGCCGUAGCUAACGCUUUAAGUACCCCGCCUGGGGAGUACGGCCGCAAGGCUAAAACUCAAAGGAAUUGACGGGGCCCCGCACAAGCGGCGGAGCAUGCGGAUUAAUUCGAUGCAACGCGUAGAACCUUACCUGGGUUUGACAUGGAUCGGGAGUGCUCAGAGAUGGGUGUGCCUCUUUUGGGGUCGGUUCACAGGUGGUGCAUGGCUGUCGUCAGCUCGUGUCGUGAGAUGUUGGGUUAAGUCCCGCAACGAGCGCAACCCUUGUUCACUGUUGCCAGCACGUUAUGGUGGGGACUCAGUGGAGACCGCCGGGGUCAACUCGGAGGAAGGUGGGGAUGACGUCAAGUCAUCAUGCCCCUUAUGUCCAGGGCUUCACGCAUGCUACAAUGGCUGGUACAGAGAGUGGCGAGCCUGUGAGGGUGAGCGAAUCUCGGAAAGCCGGUCUCAGUUCGGAUUGGGGUCUGCAACUCGACCUCAUGAAGUCGGAGUCGCUAGUAAUCGCAGAUCAGCAACGCUGCGGUGAAUACGUUCCCGGGGCU